rnacentral:rRNA from 1 species
CUAGCGUAAAAUAUUACUGCUGCGGUUAAAAAGCUCGUCGUUGAAUCUAGUCGUGUCCGUUGGGUUUGUCGUUGGCGUUUAUUCGUCUUUGGCGUUAAUUCACGGCCGAUUUUUGCUGGUUUGCUGUUGGUCUUCGGAUCUUCGGUGGCUAGCGAGUUACUUUGAUCAAAUCAGAGUGCUCAAAACAGGCGAAAGCUUGUAUGAUUUCUCGAGGAAUAACAGAAGAGGACUUCGGUUCUAUUUGUUGGUUCCAGAAUCGUUUAAUGGUUAAGAGGGACAAUUCGGGGGCAAACGUAUCCUCGCGCGAGGGGUGAAAUCCGUAGACCGUGAGGAGACGACCAAUAG